CUGAGGAGAAUCAGCAUUCCUGACAACUGCUCCAUCGGUUCUCGGAUAGAUUUUAAAGAGAUUAAGACCUGUUAUGGGAAUCCACUCUUGGGAACAACCAGUUGUCAGCCACGAAUCUAGUCCCUGAACCAGACUCUCUGCACCCGGUGUUUGAGGAAUGAAGGUUGCAUGCACUUGUAAGAGGUGGCUUUUAACUGUGAAACUGAACUGUCCACUCCUCAGAGUCACAGCUGGUUCCUCCCACAACCGGAUGCUUCUCUGAGAUCUUAUGAACAGACGGAGCCUAGCAUCGCUUUGACCCAUGAGCCACUCCGGCUGGACACGCUGGGCCAUUUGGAGGGGACAGAGGACAGACGAGGUGACCCCCCAGGGAGAGGAAGGUGGGCUUCUCGGAGCAGGCCAGGCGUGCAGCCAGUCUCCUCACUCAAGGUCGUCACAGAGCCUUUGGGAGUCCCAGUCCCUCCAGCUUUGCAAAUAGCUCUCUGUCAGACCAUUGCUUUUGUGUGGCUUGGUUCCCUGGGGAAGAAGAUACUGGACAUGAAAGGGACAUCUCAACAGAUUAAGCGUUUUCAGAGAAGCGAGACGUUAUUCGAUUAAAACGGUGCCUUGCGCUCAUGAACGAGCAAUAAAUAUUUGUUGGUUUGA